AGCUUUAGGGCUAGCCUCGCAACGUAAGUGGCGGAGGUAGAGCACUGGAUGAGCUAGGGCUCUCACAAGGGUACCAAACUCAACCAAACUCCGAAUGCCGUCAACUGGAAUUGCGGGAGUCAGACUGUGGGGGCUAAGCUCCAUGGUCGAGAGGGAAACAGCCCAGACCACCAGCUAAGGUCCUGGAAUGCAGGCUAAGUGGGAAAGGAUGUCAGAUUACUUAGACAACCAGGAGGUUGGCUUAGAGGCAGCCAUCCUUUAAAGAGUGCGUAACAGCUCACUGGUCAAGUGUUCUGGCGCCGACAAUGUAACGGGGCUCAAGCCUGCUACCGACGCUGUGGGAUCUUGUUCGCUUCGGCGAGCGGGAUCGGUAGGGGAGCAUUCUGCAGUCAGUGAAGCUGGACGGUGACGACCGGUGGAGAGUGCAGAAGCGAUUAUGCCGGCCUAAGUAACGAUAAACUAGGUGAAAAACCUAGUCGCCGUAAAUCUAAGGUUUCCUGGGGAAGGUUAAUCCGCCCAGGGUUAGUCGGUUCCUAAGCUGAGGCCUAAGGGCGUAAGCGAAGGGCAACAGGUUAAUAUUCCUGUACUACCGGGCGACGACAAAGACGCAAUGGGGGGACGCAGAAGGGUAGGCCAUGCCCGUGUUGGACAUCGGGCUCUAAGCCGGUAGGGGGUUUCGAUAGGCAAAUCCGUCGAGACGUUAACCCCGAGAGGUGAUGGGGAGGCCGUAAGGCCACAAACUGGCUCAGCCCAUGCUGCCAAGAAAAGCCUCUAGCGAGUCGUUCGGUAACCGUACCGCAAACCGACUCAGGUAGACAGGGAGAGUAUCCCAAGGCGCUCGAGAGAACACUCGCUAAGGAACUCGGCAAAAUAGCCCCGUAACUUCGGGAAAAGGGGUACCAUGCCAGUGUGAGCAGGUUCGCCCUGCAGAGCGCUGGAAGGUCGCAGUGAAUUGGGCCAAGCGACUGUUUAAUAAAAACACAGGUCCGUGCGAAGCCGAAAGGCGAGGUAUACGGACUGACACCUGCCCGGUGCCGGACGGUUAACAGGAGGGGUUAUUCGCCGCAAGGCGGAGAAGCUCUGAAUCGAAGCCCCGGUAAACGGCGGCCGUAACUAUAACGGUCCUAAGGUAGCGAAAUUCCUUGUCGGGUAAGUUCCGACCUGCACGAAUGGUGUAACGACUUGGCCGCUGUCUCAGCGAGUGGCUCGGUGAAAUUGUAGUACCGGUGAAGAUGCCGGUUACCCGCAGCUAGACGGAAAGACCCCGUGAACCUUUACUGUAGCUUGGCAUUGGAUCUUGGUGUGGUUUGUGUAGGAUAGGUGGGAGGCUGUGAAGCGGGAGCGCCAGCUUUCGUGGAGCCAACCUUGAAAUACCACCCUUUCUAUACUGGGCUUCUAACCCGGACCUGUGAAGCCAGGUCGGGGACAAUGUCAGGUGGGCAGUUUGACUGGGGCGGUCGCCUCCUAAAGCGUAACGGAGGCGCCCAAAGGUUCCCUCAGCACGGUCGGCAAUCGUGCGUUGAGUGCAAAGGCAUAAGGGAGCUUAACUGCGAGACCUACAAGUCAAGCAGGUGCGAAAGCAGGGCUUAGUGAUCCGGUGGUCCCGAGUGGAAGGGCCAUCGCUCAACGGAUAAAAGGUACUCCGGGGAUAACAGGCUUAUCUCCCCCAAGAGUCCACAUCGACGGGGAGGUUUGGCACCUCGAUGUCGGCUCAUCGCAUCCUGGGGCUGAAGCAGGUCCCAAGGGUUGGGCUGUUCGCCCAUUAAAGCGGUACGCGAGCUGGGUUUAGAACGUCGUGAGACAGUUCGGUCCCUAUCUGCUGCGGGCGUAGGAGAUUUGCGGGGAUCUGUCCCUAGUACGAGAGGACCGGGAUGGACGAACCUCUAGUGUGCCAGUUGUUCUGCCAAGGGCAUCGCUGGGUAGCUAUGUUCGGAAGGGAUAAACGCUGAAAGCAUCUAAGUGCGAAGCCCACCCCAAGAUGAGAUCUCCCGGGCGUAAGCCCCUAAAGACCCCUUGU
rnacentral:rRNA from 1 species